AUGGUGACCGGGCAGGGGUCCGAUAGAUAUUCUAGUUAUGCGACUUGGGCCAAUCCUAUAUCCACCUCCCACAGGGUUCUUGACUCCACAUGCAGAGCGGGCUGAAGCCACUCCUGCUAUCCAGGCAGCGCCUGUCCUAACAAGGAUUCAAUCAAUAUCUCUUGCACUUAUGCGAAGAUUUUCCUAGUGGAAAUACCCAAGACUUCCGGGGCAGCACUCCAGCGCUAACAUGAUUCCACAUGUGUUGUGAGUUAGCAGCCUGCUACUGUCUGUGUAAACGCAAGAGCUGGGUUUGGUUUGCCGUUCUGAAAUACACCGGUGAAAGUCAGCAGUCUCCUCCUCGAAAUCAGACGGAGGGCAAAAGGCAGAAGAAGAUCGCGAUAAGACCCAGGAGGUAACAGUCAUAGGGGUGGAGAUCUGCUUCAUAAAAAGCCACCGCAGGGGCACCAGAAGGGCACAUGUGACCACCAGGCAGGGGUGCGAACCCUUCUUCGCAGUCACCCCGAUCACCCACUCAUUUUACAGCCCAGGGACUGCAAAACGGACUAGCCCAUGCCAAGGAAGACGGGACCGAAGGCUGGAGCGAGCGCCUGCAGGCUGAUGGAGUGACUGACUGACAACUUACACUCAAGCAAGAAAUCAAAUAGAAAUGGAGCCAGGAAGUGCUCCACAGAGGACAUAACUGAGAGAUGCAAGCAAGAAUUAGCUCCCUCUCGGUGUGACAGAGUAAACACUAGAUCAGUGGUGAGCUGGGGGGCGGGGAGGGGCGACAAGGGGAUGGAGGAGACACAACACGUGAGACAUUGCCUACCUUCAUUACCAACUGUGCCUUUAAAGACACGGGAGGUUUUAAUGCGUGUAGCCAUGCUGAUCUUUGUACUUAUGAGUGGAAAACUUUUUUGUUUGCUUGCUUGCUUGUUUUAUUCUUCCGUGGGGAUCGUAGCCAGGGCUCUGUUCACGCCGACCACGUAGUCUACUACUGAGCUGCGUCUCAGUCUCCCCCUCCCGCGACCCCAUAGGAGUUUUUCCUGUAAGGAUCUUGAGUCCUGGCAUGACAUUAAAGAAAAGCAGUACAAUUGCGCAGAACCACUUUUACCUCGCCGUAUAAAGUGUAGCGUGCUUCCUGAAGCUGCGUCUAAUCUAAUCGCCUUCUGUUUCCCCUGUCACGGAAGUAGCAGAGCGAAACGCUCUGAUUUGAAUUCGUGAACUAGUUCAUCUUUCUGGCAUUCCUGGUGAGUUUUCAGUGUGCUGCUGACAGAGACAUGAGUUUUCUAGAGGCCCUUCUGCCUCCCACAUCCGCUGCAUCUUCCCGAGCUGGCAGCAGACACUGACAGGCCCUGAUACCCAGGACUUGAAGAGAGAGGUUUGCUCCACAGGUGGUCCUGGGCACACAGGUCGGCUCCUCCAUACUGGACACUGCUCGCUCGCUUUUCUUCUUCUACUCCUUUAACUUCAUGGUUUGGUUUGGUUUGUUUCAAUUUAGCAUUUUCUGGGCAACCAGGCUUACUCCAAGAUUGUGCGGAGAAAGACUGGUCGAUAAAAAUAAAGGGGAGGGGGCCAGUGAGUGAAGAAAAAGGUAUGGCUGAGAUGGGAGGGGAGAAUAUGAAGGAAGUGGAGAUGCAGCAAGUUUGGGGGUUUUGUUUGUCCAUCUUGUUUUUAAAGUGGGAUAAGAGGGCCAGUAAGAUGGCUCAGUGGGCAAAGGUGACUGCUACCAAGCCUGAAGACCUGAGUGUGAUCCCUGGGGACCCAUAUCGUGAAAGGAGAGAGCCGGCUUCUGAAAGUACUCCUCUGACUUCCAUUCACAUAAAAUACAAAAAUAUUGAUAUAAUAUUUUUUAGAGAUGAGAUAAUAAUAAUACUGCUUUUCUGGAGUCAGGAGGAUUAGGGCACAGGGCCUUUUUGCCCACAUUGCCUUCAGUAGCAUCUGUCUCUCCUCAGGGACUUCACUUCCUCAGUUCCUCUCCAAUGUCACCUCACAACAGGGUUGUCUACCUGUGUAAAAGCCACUGCCUUCUCUUGUCCUCUAAUUGUUUAAACUGUUCUAUUUAUCUUUACAGCGAUUGUUAGAACCCAUUACAUCCCACACUUACUGGUUUGUUUGUCUGUUUAUUUGUUUGCCUUCCCUCAAAGGAAUCUCAACAUACCUGGCCCUGGGACUUUCCCUGCUAUAUCCAAGCAUCUCACACAAUGCCUGGCUUAUAGAAAGGUUUGAGUGGAUGAAUUAAUGAACAAAUGGGUUCUACACUGGCACAGGCAGGAAUGGGGAUAAGAGAAACGUGUGCCCCAGCCCUUAGGUAUCAGACCAUUGGAAUGCAGAGUCUUGACAUGUCUCCGAGAGCCCCAGGCUGGGAGAAGGGAAAGGAUGAAGUCCUGCGGCAGCAGGAGAGACUUGUCUUCUAGGAAGAGAUCUCAGUCCGGCAUCUUCCUGGACCACCUUGCAAGGGAGACUGGAGGAGCUGAGACAAGAGUGGGGGACCACAGCUUGACCAGAGCACUGGCUAAGACCAGCUUGCUGUUUUUCAGGCUUGGCUACAAGCACCCACACCCCUAACCACUGAGUCGUCCUACCAGUCCAGAAAAUACAUUCUUAAGAUCUAUCAACACAGAAAGAGUAACAAAUGACAAAGGGGUGGUUGUCCUUUUUUUUUUCUUUAAAAAAAACAACAACAAAAAAAAAAACUUUAUCCAAAUAGCAAAGGAACACAUAACAAGAAAGUUCUGGUUUCUAUCUAUAAGCGCCCAGCAAAACAGUAGCAGAAGGAGAUCAUGGACUGGAUUGGGCUGUGGGUUUCCUUGCAAAAGGAGAAAAAUUCCUCACAGGCGGAUGGUAACUUCUUCAAACAUCUCAAUAUUUACUUGGGUGUAGGAGCCACAUAAGAUGACGAAGUGAGUGGCCAUAGAAAAAUGCCUCGUGUCCUGUCCACUGUCAAAACUACUCUGGAGAAAGGACAAACUUGUAGGGAAAUUGGCAAGUGUUCUUGUUAGUUUUAAUCACCAGUGCUGUGUGCAUUUUGGCUGUCAGAGUCUCAUAUCCAGCCACAGCUUUCCUAAAUCCCACGGCACAUUCCAUCCUGCCUAGCCCAGGGCCUGGGCCCCAUUCUCAGCAGGAGCUCCCUCCCACCAGACUCCUCUUGCUCCUUCGGUUAGAGCCUCAGCAGCGGGGCAGCGUGCUGUCUGUCUUUAAUUGGCUGCAAGGAAGAAGGAGGUGGGGGGCUGGGGAAAAGAAAGGUUAUGUAGUGUCCAAGUCUGUGCAGCUUGGGGUCCGCUAGGAUGGCUGCUCUCCGGAAAGCUUCCAGAAAGUGCAGAUUGGGGACUUAGAAGUGGGGCUUUUAUAAACUGCACUUCUCCAACCCCCUGAAAGAAGGAGAGAGGGGGAGCUCACAGGCUGCGCUCUCUGAGAAGGCUGGAUUUGGGGAUGACUAAUACAAUUACCCCUUUGGAAUUUAGCUUAAGAGAUGAAAGAACUAGGCCAGAGGUAACAGUUAAAACUCCCACCCAUCCUGCCCUUCCCUCUCCUGCUCAAGAGUUAGAAAAGGAACUGGGGAUGGGGGGAGGAGGGGAGAGAGGGAAGGGGAAAUGGAAAUGGAAAGGGCACCUGCACUGCCAGUGGGUCGUCCUCUGAUGUGAUGUGGCCAGAGAGCAUGAUGGGGUGUGAGUUUCGAUCCCCUGGAUGUAUACCUACGAGAUGGAUCGACUGACGCUGGAUUGCAAGCAUUUGGUUCCAGAGGAAAGCAAAGUCAGUGAAUGGCAAGAAGAGAGGUCACUGCCCCUGGCUUGCUCAGGCCUAACAAGACUACUGAGAGAAGCCACCAAAAUCUGCCCAAGCAGAUGGCCCGUCCCUGGUGUGUCACGGUUUAGACUGUGCUGUGUUUCCUAGAUUGUUAGACUCUGCUGUAUUUCCGAGGCUGCAUCCUCCCAAGGCCAUUGGCCAUGCACCUCAUUAGAAGGCCAAGAGCAAUGAAUUUCAUUCAAGCCUGUCCAUCAGCCCAUUCUGUGCCCCCUUUAACCUUCCUCAGCUGCAUCCAAGAGUCCCUUCCAGGAAAAUGACAGCUGGCUAGGGUCAUGGAGGAGGCUGACCUGAACAACCCCCCACGCCCCCCAAAUGGGACUUUUUCAGAUCUUAGAGAGAAACCACCACAACCAAGAGAAGCCAAGGAGAUGUAGCAACUAAACACAGCAUGCUGGAACAGGGAGGGACCUGGGGCAGCAAAGGCUACGCUGGGAAAACAGGAAACCCAAAGAGAUCGUGGGGAGAGUGUGGACUUUUAUUAAUAAAAAUGUAUUAGAACUGGGUCAUUCAUUGUGGCAAAUGUAAAAUGUCAACUAGAGGGGAAAUUGGGCCGGCGUAGGGAAACUCAACAGUGCUUUCAGUUAUUUCCUAUCAAUCUAAAAGAUCCUGAAAGAAACCGUUUUAAAAAAUGUGAAGUAUUAAUAGUGUAGAUUAAAAAAUGAAGACUUUUUUUCUGGGGAGGGCCACAUUAAGGAUGCUGUCACUGAAAAAUGAUAUAGGUGCCAGCUAGAUAGCUCAGUGGGUAGAAGUGUUUGCCACCAAGGCAGACGACCUUCGUCUGAUCUCUGGGGCUCACACAAGCUUGCUCAUGGUCUGAGUAUGUAAUCUCC
rnacentral:lncRNA from 1 species